rnacentral:rRNA from 1 species
AACGAACGCUGGCGGCAGGCUUAACACAUGCAAGUCGAACGCCCCGCAAGGGGAGUGGCAGCCGGGUGAGUAACACGUGGGAACAUGCCCAAAGGUACGGAAUAUUCUCGGGAAACUGAGAGCAAUACCGUAUGUGCCCGAAAGGGGAAAGAUUUAUCGCCUUUGGAUUGGCCCGCGUCGGAUUAGCUAGUUGGUGGGGUAAAAGCCUACCAAGGCGACGAUCCGUAGCUGGUCUGAGAGGACGACCAGCCACACUGGGACUGAGACACGGCCCAGACUCCUACGGGAGGCAGCAGUGGGGAAUCUUGGACAAUGGGCGCAAGCCUGAUCCAGCCAUGCCGCGUGGAUGAUGAAGGCCCUAGGGUUGUAAAAUCCUUUCGUUGGGGACGAUAAUGACGGUACCCAAAGAAGAAGCUCCGGCUAACUUCGUG